rnacentral:rRNA from 1 species
CAGCAGGCGCGCAAAUUACCCACUCCCGGCACGGGGAGGUAGUGACGAAAAAUAACGAUACGGGACUCAUCCGAGGCCCCGUAAUCGGAAUGAGUACACUCUAAACCCUUUAACGAGGAUCAAUUGGAGGGCAAGUCUGGUGCCAGCAGCCGCGGUAAUUCCAGCUCCAAUAGCGUAUAUUAAAGUUGUUGCGGUUAAAAAGCUCGUAGUCGAAUCUGUGUCUCGCGCCGCCGGUUCAUCGCUCGCGGUGUUUAACUGGCGUGCCGCGGGACGUCCUGCCGGUGGGCUCCGCCUCUUCGCGGGGGCGGCCCAACUUAGAAUCCCAUGCCGGUGCUCUUCGCUGAGUGUCGGGAUGGGCCGGCACGUUUACUUUGAACAAAUUAGAGUGCUUAAAGCAGGCUAAAACUUCGCCUGAAUAUUCUGUGCAUGGAAUAAUGGAAUAGGACCUCGGUUCUAUUUUGUUGGUUUUCGGAACCCCGAGGUAAUGAUUAAUAGGAACGGAUGGGGGCAUUCGUAUUGCGACGUUAGAGGUGAAAUUCUUGGAUCGUCGCAAGACGGACGGAAGCGAAAGCAUUUGCCAAAAACGUUUUCAUUGAUCAAGAACGAAAGUUAGAGGUUCGAAGGCGAUCAGAUACCGCCCUAGUUCUAACCAUAAACGAUGCCAGCUAGCGAUCCGCCGACGUUCCUCCGAUGACUCGGCGGGCAGCUYCCGGGAAACCAAAGCUUUUGGGUUCCGGGGGAAGUAUGGUUGCAAAGCUGAAACUUAAAGGAAUUGACGGAAGGGCACCACCAGGAGUGGAGCCUGCGGCUUAAUUUGACUCAACACGGGAAACCUCACCAGGCCCGGACACCGGAAGGAUUGACAGAUUGAGAGCUCUUUCUUGAUUCGGUGGGUGGUGGUGCAUGGCCGUUCUUAGUUGGUGGAGCGAUUUGUCUGGUUAAUUCCGAUAACGAACGAGACUCUAGCCUGCUAACUAGGCGUAUUUUCGACAUCUCAAAGGCCCCACGGCCCGGCGUUUUCGCGCCGCGGUCGCGCGCGGUUUUUACUGUCGGCGUACAAUAAAUUCUUCUUAGAGGGACAGGCGGCGUCUAGCCGCACGAGAUUGAGCAAUAACAGGUCUGUGAUGCCCUUAGAUGUUCUGGGCCGCACGCGCGCUACACUGAAGGAAUCAGCGUGUCCUCCCUGGCCGAGAGGCCCGGGUAACCCGCUGAACCUCCUUCGUGCUAGGGAUUGGGGCUUGCAAUUGUUCCCCAUGAACGAGGAAUUCCCAGUAAGCGCGAGUCAUAAGCUCGCGUUGAUUACGUCCCUGCCCUUUGUACACACCGCCCGUCGCUACUACCGAUUGAAUGAUUUAGUGAGGUCUUCGGACCGGUACGCGGCGACGCUCCGCGUCGCCGAUGUUGCUGGGAAGAUGACCAAAC